rnacentral:misc_RNA from 1 species
GAAAUGCGAUAAGUAAUGUGAAUUGCAGAAUUCAGUGAAUCAUCGAAUCUUUGAACGCACCUUGCGCUCCUUGGUAUUCCUUGGAGCAUGCCUGUUUGAGAAUCAUGAAAUCUUCAAAGUAAAUCUUUUGUUAACUCAAUUGGUUUCUACUUUGGUAUUGGAGGUCUUUGCAGCUUCACACCUGCUCCUCUUUGUUCAUUAGCUGGAUCUCAGUGUUAUGCUUGGUUCCACUCGGCGUGAUAAGUUAUCUAUCGCUGAGGACACUGUAAAAGGUGGCCAAGGUAAAUGCAGAUGAACCGCUUCUAAUAGUCCAUUGACUUGGACAAUACUUUUAUGAUCUGAUCUCAAAUCAGGCAGGACUACCCGCUGAACUUAAGC